CAUGACUACAGUGGCGUACGGGUGAGUAACACGUGGAUCAUCUACCUCUUAGUGGGGAAUAACCCUGGGAAACCGGGGCUAAUACCGCAUAAUCCUGGGAAGGGAAAGUCGCAAGACGCUGAGAGAGGAGUCCGCGGCCGAUUAGCUAGUUGGCAGGGUAAUGGCCUACCAAGGCUAUGAUCGGUAGCCGGCCUGAGAGGGCACAC
rnacentral:rRNA from 1 species